AUAUGUUAAAUUUAAUGCAGGUUUUCCCCCUUCAGCCAUUCUUUAACUGCGAUUAUGGAUUCCAUUAAAUCAUUUUAUCGUGACGCUUGGAGUUCCUGGGGAGAGAUACCUGUCUUUGACAGAGAACAAAUGUGGAAUCACUUUAAGACGAAGUGCGUAUGGUAUAGCAAACAUGAUUAUCAAAUAUUUUAUAAUUUUGAAAUAGCCGCUGCUUUUAUGCUUAACAAUUUCUUGUGGAGUGCUUGGGAAAAGAACCAGAAGCCCGAUUGGAUUCUAGAAGGUUUAUGGGCUAGACUUAAUGAAAAGUGGACCAACUGAGAAAUUUCAAAAGAUGAGCAUCCACAUGUUGUGAAAAAUAAGAAGGAUGGUCAUAGUACUUUGUUUGAGCCACAUGUUGAGAGGAAAAAUACUGGAUAUAAAAAAGGCUUGGAUGAAUGGCAUCAAAGUCAACCUACUUCUGAGAAUGAUAGCUCAAACCAAUUGCCAGACGAUGAUGACUCUUCAAUAUUGUCGAAGAAGAUUGAUGGAGUAAAGAAAGGUAAAGCACGCGGCCUUGGAUCAGAGCAUUGUGUAGGCUAUAUCGUGUACGGAUUGUCUGCUGCUUCUUUAAGUUCUCCAUUGAAACAGAAUGAGGAAGAGAUAGAUUCGUUGCGAAUACAAGUACAUGAGUUGUUGAAAAAGAAAAAAGCAGACCGUUUAAGACUUGCUGGACUGGAGAAUCUAGUGCAUCAUCUCAUAGACAAUUUUUGAUCUGAUGAUGAUAACUUGAUGGGGAGAAUUAGUUUGUUGUGCUUGUGAUGUUGGAACAUUUACUUAUUUGAUUUCGUUGGGAUAUUACCUGAAUGGUGUCUGAAUGUCUAGACUUGCUUUUGGAUGUCACUUGAAUGGUGCUUGGAUGUUUUGGACUUGCUUUUGGAUGUUUUAGUUAUAAACAUGUUUAAUUUUU